CAGAGUUUGAUCCUGGCUCAGGACGAACGCUGGCGGCGUGCCUAAUACAUGCAAGUCGAGCGAGUGAAACUGACAGAAGCCUUCGGGUGGACGACAGUGGAUCUAGCGGCGGACGGGUGAGUAACACGUAGGCAACCUGCCCGUAAGACGGGGAUAACUCCGGGAAACCGGGGCUAAUACCGGAUGAUGCUAGGGAUCGCAUGAUCCCAAGCUGAAAGGUGGCUUAGGCUACCACUUACGGAUGGGCCUGCGGCGCAUUAGCUAGUUGGUGAGGUAAAGGCUCACCAAGGCAACGAUGCGUAGCCGACCUGAGAGGGUGAUCGGCCACACUGGGACUGAGACACGGCCCAGACUCCUACGGGAGGCAGCAGUAGGGAAUCUUCGGCAAUGGGCGAAAGCCUGACCGAGCAACGCCGCGUGAGUGAUGAAGGUUUUCGGAUCGUAAAACUCUGUUGUUAGGGAAGAACAAGUACCGUUUGAACAAGGCGGUACCUUGACGGUACCUGACGAGAAAGCCCCGGCUAACUACGUGCCAGCAGCCGCGGUAAUACGUAGGGGGCAAGCGUUGUCCGGAAUUAUUGGGCGUAAAGCGCGCGCAGGCGGUCUCUUAAGUCUGAUGUGAAAGCCCACGGCUCAACCGUGGAGGGUCAUUGGAAACUGGGGGACUUGAGUGCAGGAGAGGAAAGUGGAAUUCCACGUGUAGCGGUGAAAUGCGUAGAGAUGUGGAGGAACACCAGUGGCGAAGGCGACUUUCUGGCCUGUAACUGACGCUGAGGCGCGAAAGCGUGGGGAUCAAACAGGAUUAGAUACCCUGGUAGUCCACGCCGUAAACGAUGAGUGGUAGGGGGUUAGAGGUUCGAUACCUUUAAGUGCCGACGUUAACAAAUAAGCCUCCGCCCUGGGGAGUACGGCCGCAAGGUGAACUCAAAGGAAUUGACGGGACCCGCCAGCAGGGGGAAAAGUGGGGUUUAUUUCAAGCAACGCGAAAACCUUCCCGGAUUGGAUCCCAGCCCCCCAAAAAAAAGAAGGGUUCUUCCACAACCAAAAAGGGGGGGGGUGUGUGUUUUCCCCCCCUCCGGG
rnacentral:rRNA from 1 species